UGGGAACGUACCUUUCGGUUCAGGAUAACCCAGGGAAACUUGGGCUAAUACCGGAUACGUCCUUAGGGAGAAAGAUUGAUUUGCCGAGAGAUCGGCCCGCGUCUGAUUAGCUAGUUGGUGAGGUAAAACUCACCAAGGCGACGAUCAGUAGCUGGUCUGAGAGGAUGAUCAGCCACACUGGGACUGAGACACGGCCCAGACCUCCUACGGGAGGCAG
rnacentral:rRNA from 1 species